GUCAUUUAGCAGCACAUCUACAAACAUUGGAAUGAUACUGAGUUUAGCAGGGCCCCUGUGCAAAGAAGACAUACUGAUUCUUGAAGUAUUUCAUAUUAUU
ensembl:snRNA U6 U6 spliceosomal RNA